rnacentral:rRNA from 1 species
AACGAACGCUGGCGGCAGGCUUAACACAUGCAAGUCGAGCGCCCCGCAAGGGGAGCGGCAGACGGGUGAGUAACGCGUGGGAAUCUACCCAUCACUACGGAACAACUCCGGGAAACUGGAGCUAAUACCGUAUACGUCCUUCGGGAGAAAGAUUUAUCGGUGAUGGAUGAGCCCGCGUUGGAUUAGCUAGUUGGUGGGGUAAUGGCCCACCAAGGCGACGAUCCAUAGCUGGUCUGAGAGGAUGAUCAGCCACACUGGGACUGAGGCACGGCCCAGACUCCUACGGGAGGCAGCAGUGGGGAAUAUUGGACAAUGGGCGCAAGCCUGAUCCAGCCAUGCCGCGUGAGUGAUGAAGGCCCUAGGGUUGUAAAGCUCUUUCACCGGCGAAGAUAAUGACGGUAACCGGAGAAGAUGCCCCGGCUAACUUCGUGCCAGCCGCCGCCGUAA